UCCUCAGUAGCUCAGUGGUAGAGCGGUCGGUUGUUAACUGACUGGUCGUAGGUUCGAAUCCUACUUGGGGAG
rfam:Oryza glaberrima chromosome 2 Oglab02_0004_13, whole genome shotgun sequence.